UUGAACAGGAUCUGUUCUAUAGGAUCGUACUACUAUUCCCUUAAGUAAUAAGGAGACUAGUCAACAAGUUUGGUGGAUGAAAAAUAAUCCUUUGACCAGAGCGUGAUUGACUGAUAAAUUGGGUUUCAAUUAAAUCAUGUAGAUGAUCGUUCUCAGAUAUUGGGUUUGCUUACCCAUUCUGUGAAGGUCUUGGGGUUUUCUGACAGAUUCGAUCUUUUUUUUUUAUCUUGAUAUCACAUAUCUCGGGUAAAGAACAACAAGUUUAUAUUCUUACCAAGGUUUUAAAUCCAAAGUCUUUUUCUUAACAGAAGACCCGGACCUAGCUAUGCUCACAUCCACAGGCGUAUGUAAGGGGCAAGGGAGGGCAAUUGCCCCCCAUAAAGGUUGAAAAUUUCAUAAGUACUUGUACAUAAUUUUUAGGCUGAGUUUCAGGUGUGCCAUUCUGUGAAGGUCUUGGGGUUUUCUGACAGAUUCGAUCUUUUUUUUUUAUCUUGAUAUCACAUAUCUCGGGUAAAGAACAACAAGUUUAUAUUCUUACCAAGGCUUUAAAUCCAAAAUGUUUUUCUUAACAGAAGACCCGGACCUAGCUAUGCUCACAUCCACAGGCGUAUGUAAGGGGCAAGGGAGGGCAAUUGCCCCCCAUAAAGGUUGAAAAUUUCAUAAGUACUUGUACAUAAUUUUUAGGCUGAGUUUCAGGUGUGCCAUUCUGUGAAAUUUGGUUUACCCAUUCUGUGAAAGUCUUGGGGUUUUCUGACAGACUCUAUUUUAAAAGCUGUUGAAUAUUUCUCAUGUUGAUUUUAUUUCCAUUAUGAUUUAUUUUGCUUGUUAUUUCUAUUAGAUUAUUUGAUGAUGCGUGGAGAAGGGGGGAAACAACAGUGAAGAAUCUAAGAAGAGAGUAUUAGGGAUUUCAGAUUUGGGGGAGAAGAGGGGAGAAGAUUUGUGAAACGUGGG
rnacentral:lncRNA from 1 species